rnacentral:rRNA from 1 species
CCUACGGGUGGCAGCAGUAGGGAAUUUUCGUCAAUGGGGGGAACCCUGACCGAGCAACGCCGCGUGAACGAAGAAGUUAUUCGUAAUUUAAAGUUCCUUUUACAGGGAAGAAAGAGAAAUUUCACGUUACCUGAAGAAUAAGCCCCGGCUAACUACGUGCCAGCAGCCGCGGUAAUACGUAGGGAGCGAGCGUUAUCCGGAAUUAUUGGGCGUAAAGGGUGCGUAGAUGGCAUAGUAAGUCUUUGGUAAAAAUGCUGGGCUCAACCCAGUAGGGCAAAAGAUACUGAAAAGCUAGAGUAUGAGAGAGGCAAGUGGAACUAGAUGUGUAGCGGUAAAAUGCGUAAAUAU